CAAUAGCGUAUAUUAAAGUUGUUGCGGUUAAAAAGCUCGUAGUUGGAUUUCUGUUGGGAACGACCGGUCCGCCCAUUGGGUGUGUAUCUGGCUUGUUCUCGGCAUCUUCUUGGUGAACGUUGCUGCACUUGACUGUGUGGAGCGCUACCCAGGACUUUUACUUUGAGGAAAUUAGAGUGUUUCAAGCAGGCAUAUGCCUUGAAUACAUUAGCAUGGAAUAAUAAGAUAGGACCUCGGUUCUAUUUUGUUGGUUUCUAGAGCUGAGGUAAUGAUUAAUAGGGAUAGUUGGGGGCAUUCGUAUUUAACUGUCAGAGGUGAAAUUCUUGGAGUUGUUAAAGACGGACUACUGCGAAAGCAUUUGCCAAGGAUGUUUUCAUUGA
rnacentral:rRNA from 1 species